AGAGAGCAAAUGAGCUUGGUGAUCGAUUAAUUUCCUCAUUUUUAUCCGCAUUCUUGGCAUUCUCCUGUCCAAGCUGAGGACACGGCAAAUGCGCUGCCGGGAUUACCGGCUGAGGCUGGCUCGCUCCACGCUGACGCUGGUGCCCCUGCUGGG
rnacentral:sRNA from 1 species